rnacentral:piRNA from 1 species
UAAAAAUUCACUUUGGGAAAGGUUGCCUA